rnacentral:rRNA from 1 species
UACGAAGGGGGCUAGCGUUGUUCGGAAUUACUGGGCGUAAAGGGCGCGUAGGCGGCGUGUCAAGUCAGGCGUGAAAGCCCCGGGCUCAACCUGGGAACCGCGCUUGAGACUGGCAUGCCCGAGUUCGGGAGAGGAUGGUGGAAUUCCCAGUGUAGAGGUGAAAUUCGUAGAUAUUGGGAAGAACACCGAUGGCGAAGGCAGGUCUCUGGGCCACUACUGACGCUGAGAAGCGAAAGCAUGGGGAGCGAACAGG